rnacentral:rRNA from 1 species
GGGCUUGACAUCCCACGAACCUGACGGUAAAACGUCCUUCUCUUCGGAGCAGUGGAGACAGGUGGUGCAUGGUUGUCGUCAGCUCGUGUCGUGAGAUGUUGGGUUAAGUCCCGCAACGAGCGCAACCCUUGUCAUUAGUUGCCAGCAGGUGAAGCUGGGGACUCUGGCAGGACCGCCCGCGUCAAGCUGGAGGAAGGCG